AACGAACGCUGGCGGCGUGGUUUAGGCAUGCAAGUCGAGCGAGAAAGUCCUUCGGGACGAGUACAGCGGCGAAAGGGUGAGUAAUAUAUAGGUAACCUACCUCUUGGACUCGGAUAAUUCCUGGAAACGGGUUGUAAUACGAGAUCGUCCUAUUGGGUCGCAUGGCCCGACUCGGUAAAUGGUAGCUCUGCUUCUGCCGAGAGAGGGGCCUAUAUCCUAUUAGCUAGUUGGUGAGGUAAUGGCUCACCAAGGCUUUGAUGGGUAGCCGGACUGAGAGGUUGGCCGGUCACACUGGGACUGAGACACUGCCCAGACUCCUACGGGAGGCUGCAGUCGAGAAUCUUCCGCAAUGGGCGAAAAGCCUGACGGGGGCGACGCCGCGUGAACGAAGAAGG
rnacentral:rRNA from 1 species